AGAGUUUGAUCCUGGCUCAGAUUGAACGCUGGCGGCGUGCUUAAUACAUGCAAGUCGAGCGGUAACGCGGGAGCAAUCCUGGCGACGAGCGGCGAACGGGUGAGUAAUGCUUCGGAAUCUACCCAGUAGUGGGGAAUAACCAGCCGAAAGGUUGGCUAAUACCGCAUACGUCCUACGGGAGAAAGCGGGGGACCGCAAGGCCUCGCGCCAUUGGAUGAGCCGAAGCCGGAUUAGCUAGUUGGUAGGGUAAUGGCCUACCAAGGCGACGAUCCGUAGCUGGUCUGAGAGGACGACCAGCCACACUGGGACUGAGACACGGCCCAGACUCCUACGGGAGGCAGCAGUAGGGAAUAUUGGACAAUGGGGGAAACCCUGAUCCAGCGACGCCGCGUGUGUGAAGAAGGCCUGCGGGUUGUAAAGCACUUUUAGUGGGGAUGAAAAGUCCAGGGCCAAUAUCCCUGGGUCUUGACCUAACCCACAGAAAAAGCACCGGCUAACUCUGUGCCAGCAGCCGCGGUAAUACAGAGGGUGCGAGCGUUAAUCGGAAUUACUGGGCGUAAAGCGUGCGUAGACGGUAGCGUAAGUCGGGUGUGAAAGCCCCGGGCUCAACCUGGGAAUUGCAUUCGAGACUGCGCUGCUAGGGUGCGGAAGAGGGAAGCGGAAUUUCCGGUAGCGGUGAAAUGCGUAGAUAUCGGAAGGAACAUCAGUGGCGAAAGCGGCUUCCUGGUCCAGCACCGACGUUCAGGCACGAAAGCGUGGGGAGCAAACAGGAUUAGAUACCCCAGUAGUCC
rnacentral:rRNA from 1 species